rnacentral:rRNA from 1 species
AUUGAACGCUGGCGGCAGGCCUAACACAUGCAAGUCGAACGAGUGGCGGACGGGUGAGUAAUGUCUGGGAAACUGCCUGAUGGAGGGGGAUAACUACUGGAAACGGUAGCUAAUACCGCAUACCAUCGGAUGUGCCCAGAUGGGAUUAGCUAGUAGGUGGGGUAACGGCUCACCUAGGCGACGAUCCCUAGCUGGUCUGAGGGGAUGACAGGCCACACUGGAACUGAGACACGGUCCAGACUCCUACGGGAGGCAGCAGUGUGGAAUAUUGCACAAUGGGCGAAAGCCUGAAGCAGCUAUGCCGCGUGUAUGAAGAAGGCCUUCGGGUUGUAAAGUACUUUCGGCGGGGAGGCGUUACCCGCAGAAGAAGCACCGGCUAACUCCGUGCCAGCAGCCGCGGUAUAC